UACCAGCACCCCGAGUGGUCGGGACGAUUAUUGGGCCUAAAGCGUCCGUAGCCGGUUUUACAAGUCCCCCGUUAAAUCCAGCUGCUUAACAGAUGGGCUGCGGAGGAUACUAUAAGACUAGGAGGCAGGAGAGGCAAGCGGUACUCAGUGGGUAGGGGUAAAAUCCGUUGAUCCAUUGAAGACCACCAGUGGCGAAGGCGGCGAUCUGGGCAGAUACUGACGCUGAGGUGCGAAAGCGUGGGGAGCAAACAGG
rnacentral:rRNA from 1 species